GGGAGGGCAUGCCCGCCAAGUUGAAAUGGGCAUGAAAAUCUAGCUCGCCCCGCCAAGGUGGCGGGUUGGCAGGCGGCGGGCUUGCCAACCUUUUUUUAUUUUAUUUUAUUUUCAUUUUUUUAAGAAAUUAAAAGACUAUUUUUUUUACAUUUAAAUAAGAAAACAUCUACCCAACAAUUAGAAAGUAUAAAUGGCAAAAGACUAAAACCAUAAAAGUAUUACCCUUCAAUCAAAAAUAGAACCUUCAAUAAGUAUUUACCUAAAAUAGAAGUAGA
rnacentral:lncRNA from 1 species